rnacentral:lncRNA from 1 species
GUAGCAGUAACAUUGGAGUAGUCUCUGCCAUCGAGAACUCUUGCAUCAGCGAAACCCAUUAUCCGAUUCGGAUCAGAUGGGUGGUGAUGGAAAAUCAUUGAGAAUGCUAGUAGCACAGAGAAGAGUAUCAAGCAAGUGGUGAAGGUUCUGGUGAGCUUCAUCGUACCAAAGCUUAGAAACUUCAUCGGAAGUAGUUCGGAGGAAGUGACGGGAUUUGAACCGCCGGUGGUGGUGCUGAUCGGAGACGGUUUCCUCCUGUAAGGAUUCUGAUCCAUAGAUGAUUGGUCUUGGCGAAGUCAGUCACCGACUUCAUUUACUUUAUUCAGACGUGUCUUCAUUACUUUAUUUCUUAUUCAGACAUGGCUCCACGACAGUUUUUAAUUGAAAACAAUUAAAAAAAAAUUCAACUGAGUGUCCAAUAACUUUUAGAUUACUUCUUUUUAACCGAAAACUUUGUAAUGUUUUGUUUUAACCCUGGUGUAACCAUUUUUACUUCUUGUGGGUUUGUAAUUUGUUUCAUGAAUCCUUUAGGCUCCUCUUUGUUCAUUAGAAGAUAGCAUGUCGUGAUAUUUGAAAAGAAGAAAAGUAAUGGGCUUAUUUAAAGCAUUUAAGUUUAAUUAAUAAGAUAACUACAUUUUGACUGGCGCUUAGAAAACGUGGAUUUGUUUGUUUUUCAUUUAUUAAUCAAAAACUGAUUUACAAAUUACCAAUAUUUUUCUUUCAAACCAUAACAAUUGAGUUUUUGAGUUUUUAUCAUUUGUUUUUUUCUCUCUUCAAAAUAUAGUAUUUGUUCGAAAUAUGGUAGUUGUUCUAUAAUAAUGUUUGAGUUUUAAGAUUUGUUUUCAUAUCUGACCUAGAUUCAUGGUUGAACCUAUAGACCUGAUACAUUGUAUAUAAUCCGGUUUGGAUUUAAUGAAAAAUUUGUUAGUUAAAAAUCCGAUAUAACCCGGUAAAAACCCAAAAACUCACUAUUAACCUGCGAUCUGAUACCAUUGAUCCGAUUACAAAAUAUCUUAUAGUACUUUUUUAAAAAAUUGAUUAAAUUAUUCAUAUAUUUUUUUAAUAUUACAUAAAUUAGUGAUUCCUUAGAAUUUGAUAAAAUUUUAUUAUGUUAUCCAAAUAAAAAAUGAAAAUAUAAAAAAAACUUAUUGAUAUGACAAUAUUAGUUUAUUUUUGUUAUUAAUAACCUAUUAUAAGUUUGUAUUUUUAUUUUAGAUUUAAAAAUUGAUUUUAAGAUAAUUUUUAAAAUAUCGAUCUUUUGGGACAGAAGUGUAUAGGCAAAUGCAGUAAAGAUCUAAACUUUGACUUACCGUUGGUAGCAGUAACAUUGGAGUAGUCUCUGCCAUCGAGAACUCUUGCAUCAGCGAAACCCAUUAUCCGAUUCGGAUCAGAUGGGUGGUGAUGGAAAAUCAUUGAGAAUGCUAGUAGCACAGAGAAGAGUAUCAAGCAAGUGGUGAAGGUUCUGGUGAGCUUCAUCGUACCAAAGCUUAGAAACUUCAUCGGAAGUAGUUCGGAGGAAGUGACGGGAUUUGAACCGCCGGUGGUGGUGCUGAUCGGAGACGGUUUCCUCCUGUAAGGAUUCUGAUCCAUAGAUGAUUGGUCUUGGC